GGGGGGGACGCAGGAAGGUAGAUGAACCCGGUGAAUGGUAGAACCGGGGUAAGCGUGUAGGAGGAGGACCAGGCAAAUCCGGGCCUCAUAUACUCUGAGACGUGAUACCGAGCCGCUUCAGGCGAAGUCAUUAAUCCUAUGCUGCCUAGAAAAGCCCAGUAGCGAGUUGACAUGGUGCCCGUACCCCAAACCAACACAGGUGGACAGGUAGAGCAUACCAAGGCGAGUGGGAUAACUAUGGUUAAGGAACUCGGCAAAUUUCCUCCGUAACUUCGGGAUAAGGAGGACCCCAGUAGCGUGACGAGACUUGCUCUCCGAGCGUGAAGGGGUGGCACAAAAUUGAGGGAAGCGACUGUUUACCAAAAACACAGCAGCGUGCUAAGCCGUAAGGCGCUGUAUACGCUGUGACUCCUGCCCGGUGCUGGAAGGUUACGGGGAUGGGUUAGUCCUUUGGGACGAAGCUCUGAACCUAAGCCCCAGUAAACGGCGGCCGUAACUAUAACGGUCCUAAGGUAGCGAAAUUCCUUGUCGGGUAAGUUCCGACCUGCACGAGUGGAGUAACGACUUCCCUACUGUCUCAACCAUAGACCCAGCGAAAUUGAAGUACGAGUAAAGAUGCUCGUUAGCUGCAGAAGGACGGAAAGACCCCGUGGACCUUUACUAUAACUUGAUGUUGUGUUUUGUCAUAUGUUGUGUAGGAUAGGUGGGAGACAAGGAAGCAUGGACGCUAGUCUGUGUGGAGUCAUCGUUGAAAUACCACCCUGCAUAUGGUGAGGCUCUAACCUAGACCCGUUAUCCGGGUUGGGGACAGCGUCAGGCGGGUAGUUUAACUGGGGCGGUUGCCUCCUAAAGAGUAACGGAGGCGCCCAAAGGUUCCCUCAGCCUGGUUGGCAAUCAGGCGUCGAGUGCAAUGGCAAAAGGGAGCUUGACUGCGAGACCUACAAGUCGAGCAGGAGCGAAAGCUGGGCAUAGUGAUCCGGCGGUUGCGUGUGGAAGCGCCGUCGCUCAACGGAUAAAAGGUACCCCGGGGAUAACAGGCUAAUCUUGCCCAAGCGUCCAUAGCGACGGCAAGGUUUGGCACCUCGAUGUCGGCUCAUCGCAUCCUGGGGCUGAAGCAGGUCCCAAGGGUUGGGCUGUUCGCCCAUUAAAGCGGUACGCGAGCUGGGUUCAGAACGUCGUGAGACAGUUCGGUCCCUAUCCUCUGUAGCCGUAGGUGAAUUGAGGAAAGCUGUCCCUAGUACGAGAGGACCGGGACGGACGCAGCUCUCGUGUGCCAGUUGUCCUGCCAAGGGCAUGGCUGGUUAGCGACCUGCGGAAAGGAUAACCGCUGAAAGCAUCUAAGCGGGAAGCCUCUUCCAAGAUGAAUUCACCCACAGGGUUAACCUGGUAAGGCCCGUGGUAGACCACCACGUUGAUAGGCCGGAAGUGUAAGCGUGGCAACACGUUCAGCUGACCGGUACUAAUCGGCCGAGGGCUUGAACC
rnacentral:rRNA from 1 species